rnacentral:misc_RNA from 1 species
GAUGAAGAACGUAGCGAAAUGCGAUAAGUAAUGUGAAUUGCAGAAUCCAGUGAAUCAUCGAAUCUUUGAACGCACAUUGCGCCCGCCAGCAUUCUGGCGGGCAUGCCUGUUCGAGCGUCAUUUCAACCCUCGACCUCCCCUUGGGGAGGUCGGCGUUGGGGACCGGCAGCACACCGCCGGCCCUGAAAUGGAGUGGCGGCCCGUCUGCGGUGACCUCUGCGUAGUAAUACAGCUCGCACCGGAACCCCGACGCGGCCACGCCGUAAAACACCCAACUUCUGAACGUUGACCUCGAAUCAGGUAGGACUACCCGCUGAACUUAAGCAUAUCAAUAAGCGGAGGA